UACGUAGGGGGCAAGCGUUGUCCGGAUUUAUUGGGCGUAAAGAGCGUGUAGGCGGCCUGGAAGGUCAGCUGUGAAAACUCGAGGCUCAACCUCGAGACGUCGGUGGAAACCACCUGGCUAGAGUCCGGAAGAGGAGAGUGGAAUUCCCGGUGUAGCGGUGAAAUGCGCAGAUAUCGGGAAGAACACCCGUGGCGAAGGCGGCUCUCUGGGACGGUACUGACGCUGAGACGCGAAAGCGUGGGGAGCGAACAGG
rnacentral:rRNA from 1 species